GUUUACUGAGUAUGUGGUCAGUAUAUUUGCCUUCCAAGCAAAAGGGUUAAACGUUGUUUUAAAGUAAAUA
rnacentral:tRNA from 1 species